rnacentral:rRNA from 1 species
GUGAGGAAUAUUGGGCAAUGGGCGAAAGCCUGAUCCAGCCAUGCCGCGUGUGUGAAGAAGGUCUUCGGAUUGUAAAGCACUUUAAGUUGGGAGGAAGGGCAGUAAGUUAAUACCUUGCUGUUUUGACGUUACCGACAGAAUAAGCACCGGCUAACUUCGUGCCAGCAGCCGCGGUAAUACGAAGGGUGCAAGCGUUAAUCGGAAUUACUGGGCGUAAAGCGCGCGUAGGUGGUUUUGUAAGUUGGAGGUGAAAUCCCCGGGCUCAACCUGGGAACUGCCUCCAAAACUGCAUGACUAGAGUACGGUAGAGGGUAGUGGAAUUUCCUGUGUAGCGGUGAAAUGCGUAGAUAUAGGAAGGAACACCAGUGGCGAAGGCGACUACCUGGACUGAUACUGACACUGAGGUGCGAAAGCGUGGGGAGCAAACAGGAUUAGAUACCUUUAGUCC